GUGCCAGCAGCCGCGGUAAUACGUAGGUGGCAAGCGUUAUCCGGAAUUAUUGGGCGUAAAGCGCGCGUAGGCGGUUUUUUAAGUCUGAUGUGAAAGCCCACGGCUCAACCGUGGAGGGUCAUUGGAAACUGGAAAACUUGAGUGCGGAAGAGGAAAGUGGAAUUCCAUGUGUAGCGGUGAAAUGCGCAGAGAUAUGGAGGAACACCAGUGGCGAAGGCGACUUUCUGGUCUGUAACUGACGCUGAUGUGCGAAAGCGUGGGGAUCAA
rnacentral:rRNA from 1 species